UUGCUUCAGCAGGACAUAUACUAAAAUUGGAAUGAUAGAGAGAAGAUUAACAUAGCCCCUGCACAAGGAUAACAUAAAGUUCAUGAAGCAUUUUAUAUAAAU
rnacentral:snRNA from 1 species